GCGGCGACAGUUCAGUGGGUAAAGCGCCAGGUGAGAACUCUGGAGCUAUUAUCCGCGCGGGUUCGAAUCCCGCCUGUGGCA